CCUCCAGCCAAUUCCCUGGGCCUGGAGAGGAAGCACAGCCAGGUACAGUGGGUCAGGGAAGAGGAAGAAAAGGGUCCCGACCGUGGCGGGGCGUCCGGCGGAGGAAUCCUGCGUGGUGCUGACGCGCAGGGACUGACGCAUGGUCACUUCCUGCGAGGUGCUGCGGCCCUGCAGCCUCAGUCAGCAAAGAAGCAGCAGAGGAAGAGGACGCACUGCUGUGCUCUCUGUGGGGAGUAGUUCUCCGGCCCGAAGAUGCGCUGCUGGCCCUUGAGUGGACGUGAAGAGCUCGUGGACUCCAGCUGACCCUCGACCCACCUGCUGUCCACCUGCACCCGACCAGAGGAGGGCCUCGUGGUGGCCGCCAUGUUGGACCCACAUGGGUGCCUGAGGUGCAAGAGGUGGAGUUGGUGUCGCCCCAGAGUGCCUGGACUUUGAGCCUUGCUGAGUGUUCACAGACCGACUGGGCUUCACCAGCACCAUGGGAACUCUGAGGGGAAACGGACAUCUACAAGGCCUGUGUAAAGAGCAUUUCAGAAUACACACAGAGACAGGCAACAAGUGGACACAUCUCUAAGGGCCCAGUGCAGCGAGAAGCACCCGGCCCCGUCCGGCCAUGCAGAACAUCCCUGGGCGAGGAGAGGCAGCACAGCCGGGCACCCUGGGGUCUGGGAGGAGGAAGAAAAGGGUCCUGGAUGGCGGAGGAA